AUUAUCGGCACCACGAUAUCGAUUUUAAAAACAUCCACUGAGACACACCUUAAGUUAAGGCAUACAUUGAUUAUAGAAGAGUUUGUAAACUUACAGAAAAUACUAAUUGGAGUAAUUGGUGCUUCGGAUUUGUUAGAUGGCGCUGUUGAGAUUAAGAUACGUUUGACAAUCCGCUUCAAAAACCAUGGUUCCGAUGGACAUACAUCUUACCUACUUCAGUGGCCAAACUCGGGCACUUCUUUCUUAGACUUUAAAAUAAUUAUACAACAAAUUUUUCUUCAGUUAUAAUUAAAGUUCUGCUUUCAGUCCCAGUGAUCCCAGUUAUCGUCAGCCCAGGAAGAACAAAGAAUCUAAAAAACCGUCUAGACGAGCUAUGCCUGUAGUGGAUGAAAAAACUAUGCUUGCUGAAAUUAUGAGAGUUAUUAACAAAUUCGCUCUGACUACCCAAGAUGAAGCAGAAGUAAACAUAGACGAUGCUGAUAGGGGGCUCCCUUCAAUAAAGCUAUACUUCAAAGGCGCCCACACUUCACUAGUAGUCCGUGCGGAACGGAGACAGUGGCACUACAUCAUCGGCCCUCCCUCUCUCUUCCCCGAAUGGUUUUACGAAGAUCACGAAGUUCAACAAGACUCAAUCGGACCGUACGUCGAUGUUCCUAAAGAUGUGAGCGGCGAGUUUUAUAACGCUCUCUUUCAUUUGUUGACCAUGUUUAUUAGUUUUCCAGUUUAAGCAAACAAGUUUCGAAAGACAAGUUAAUA